UACAGAGGUCUCAAGCGUUGUUCGGAUUCAUUGGGCGUAAAGGGUGCGUAGGUGGCGCUGUAAGUCGGGUGUGAAAUUUCGGAGCUUAACUCCGAAACUGCAUUCGAUAACUGCGGUGCUUGAGGACUGGAGAGGAGACUGGAAUUCAUGGUGUAGCAGUGAAAUGCGUAGAGAUCAUGAGGAAGACCAGUGGCGAAAGGCGGGUCUCUGGACAGUUCCUGACACUGAGGCACGAAGGCCAGGGGAGCAAACGGG
rnacentral:rRNA from 1 species